CCCCCCCCCCCCUCCUUAUUUUCUCUAUCUUUACUUUUUUUUGCGACAAAACACCAUAAAUUUGAUAAAUAAACCCCUGAAUAACAAAGCUGUCCGACUUAUACACAGAGUCCAAAUCUUGCAGGCCAAUUAAGCAGUGAAAAAGGAACUAAACCCUUGAAUCCCGCAUUGAAGGAAUAAGUAAAGUGCUACGUGGGGUUUAGUCCAUGAUAGAAGUAAAUGGAAGGGAAGGGAAGGGAUGAAUCAAGGUAAUGAAUCCUGAUUAGUUUGGGCUUAGAGUCAUGGACACCAAAAGAAUGAUGCGAGUACGCAUUGAUUUGCAGGAGCAGGAUGUGAUGGAUUUCAUCCGGUACUAGGGAAAGGAGGUGUGAAAUGAACUGUUUUGCUAUAAAUCACUAGAGCAAGAGGCUUACUUUCAGGCGACUGAAGUUAUGUCGCUGGAUCAUCUUAUGGUUACUUUGAAGUGGUACUGCUACUAGUUUUACCUGUAAAAUUUGCCUUAUAUGCAACUGCUUUCUCCAGGUAUGCACCAUUGAAUGUUGAACCACUAAAAUCAGAUUCUCUCAUAUCAGCAGCUGUAAAAUUGGCUCUUCUGCAUCAGCCAUUUAGAUUUGCUUAGAUACAAGUUGAUCUAGAACAUGUAAUCACUAUUUCUGAGUAGCAGAAUGAACAUGUAGCGGAAUAUGAAGUGUAUUACUUGUUUUGCUC